rnacentral:rRNA from 1 species
AUUGAACGCUGGCGGCAGGCCUAACACAUGCAAGUCGAGCGGGGUUUUCGGACCUAGCGGCGGACGGGUGAGUAAUGCGUAGGAAGCUACCCGAUAGAGGGGGAUACCAGUUGGAAACGACUGUUAAUACCGCAUAAUGUCUACGGACCAAAGUGUGGGACCUUCGGGCCACAUGCUAUCGGAUGCGCAUACGUGGGAUUAGCUAGUUGGUGGGGUAAUGGCUCACCAAGGCGACGAUCCCUAGCUGGUUUGAGAGGAUGAUCAGCCACACUGGAACUGAGACACGGUCCAGACUCCUACGGGAGGCAGCAGUGGGGAAUAUUGGACAAUGGGCGCAAGCCUGAUCCAGCCAUGCCGCGUGUGUGAAGAAGGCCUUCGGGUUGUAAAGCACUUUCAGUAGGGAGGAAGGGUGUUGUGUUAAUAGCACAGCAUUUUAACGUUACCUACAGAAGAAGCACCGGCUAACUCUGUGCCAGCCGCCGCAGUAACAC